rnacentral:rRNA from 1 species
AUUGAACGCUGGCGGCAUGCUCUACACAUGCAAGUCGAACGGUAACAGGCCGCAAGGUGCUGACGAGUGGCGAACGGGGGAGUAAUGCAUCGGAACGUGCCCAGUCGUGGGGGAUAACUACUAGAAAGAGUAGCUAAUACCGCAUACGAUAUAUGGAUGAAAGCGGGGGGCCGUAAGGCCUCGCGCGAUUUGAGCGGCCGAUGUCAGAUUAGGUAGUUGGUGGGGUAAAGGCUCACCAAGCCAACGAUCUGUAGCUGGUCUGAGAGGACGACCAGCCACACUGGGACUGAGACACGGCCCAGACUCCUACGGGAGGCAGCAGUGGGGAAUUUUGGACAAUGGGCGCAAGCCUGAUCCAGCAAUGCCGCGUGCAGGAAGAAGGCCUUCGGGUUGUAAACUGCUUUUGUACGGAAAGAAACGGCUCUGGUUAAUACCCGGGGCUAAUGACGGUACCGUAAGAAUAAGCACCGGCUAACUACGUG